rnacentral:rRNA from 1 species
AGUACCGAAGUUCCUGAUUCCACACUGCCAAGAAAAGCCUCUAGCGAGAUAAAAGGUGCCCGUACCGCAAACCGACACAGGUAGGCGAGGAGAGAAUCCUAAGGUGAGCGAGAGAACUCUCGUUAAGGAACUCGGCAAAAUGACCCCGUAACUUCGGGAGAAGGGGUGCUCAUUAGGGUGCAUAGCCUUGAUGAGCCGCAGUGAAUAGGCCCAGGCGACUGUUUAGCAAAAACACAGGUCUCUGCGAAGCCGCAAGGCGAAGUAUAGGGGCUGACGCCUGCCCGGUGCUGGAAGGUUAAGAGGAAGGGUUAGCUCACGCGAAGCUCUGAAUCGAAGCCCCAGUAAACGGCGGCCGUAACUAUAACGGUCCUAAGGUAGCGAAAUUCCUUGUCGGGUAAGUUCCGACCCGCACGAAAGGCGUAACGAUCUGGGCACUGUCUCAACGAGAGACUCGGUGAAAUUAUAGUACCUGUGAAGAUGCAGGUUACCCGCGACAGGACGGAAAGACCCCGUGGAGCUUUACUGCAGCCUGAUAUUGAAUUUUGGUACAGCUUGUACAGGAUAGGUAGGAGCCGUGGAAGCCGGAGCGCCAGCUUCGGUGGAGGCGUCGGUGGGAUACUACCCUGGCUGUAUUGAAAUUCUAACCCGCACCCCUUAUCGGGGUGGGAGACAGUGUCAGGUGGGCAGUUUGACUGGGGCGGU